rnacentral:tRNA from 1 species
GCUGAUGUGGCGAAAUGGCAGACGCGCAAGGUUCAGGUCCUUGUGGAAGCAAUUCCAUGCAGGUUCAAGUCCUGUCAUCAGCACCA